rnacentral:lncRNA from 1 species
UUGUAUUUUUCAUGUAACUUGAUUUUUUAUUAUAAAUCAUAUAUAUAUGUAAUUUUUUUUUGUAUUUAUUUGAAGAUGAUUUGAAAUACCUAAUGUGUGAGAGCUUUGUUUGUCUGUAAUAGAAAUUUAACCAGUAAUGGUUACUUACAUGGGUGAUUUGAGUCAGGUGAAUAUAAGUUAUAUUUAGUCAUAUACAGUCAUUUAUAGUCAGUCACAUGUAGUCAUGUAUAGUCAUGACUACUUGUAACUAUACAUGACUAUAUAUAGGACUUGUAGUAUACUAUAGUCAUUUGUAGUCGAUUUUAGUUCAGUAAAUUUAUCAACAAAAAAAAUCAUGUUUUUUUUGUAUUUUUCAUGUAACCUAACUCGCAUGUUCCAUUUUGCUAUUUCACUCGUAUUUUUUUCUCGCAGGUUUUGCUUUUAUUAUAAUUUUAUGACAUGCAGAGAAUAAAAUUCGAUGAAGUGCCUUUGUGAAGUUGGAUUCAUGCUACAGUACUCCGGACUUAUGCCACUUAUAU